UACCAGCACCCCGAGUGGUCGGGACGAUUAUUGGGCCUAAAGCAUCCGUAGCCGGUUCUACAAGUCUUCCGUUAAAUCCACCUGCUUAACAGAUGGGCUGCGGAGGAUACUAUAAGACUAGGAGGCAGGAGAGGCAAGCGGUACUCAGUGGGUAGGGGUAAAAUCCGUUGAUCCAUUGAAGACCACCAGUGGCGAAGGCGGCUUCCAGAAUGCGCUCGACGGUGAGGGAUGAAAGCUGGGGGAGCAAACCGG
rnacentral:rRNA from 1 species